rnacentral:rRNA from 1 species
UACGUAGGGACCAAGCGUUGUUCGGAUUUACUGGGCGUAAAGGGCGCGUAGGCGGCAAUUCAAGUCAUCUGUGAAAUCUCCGGGACUUAACCCGGAACGGUCAGGUGAUACUGUUUUGCUAGAGUGCGGAAGGGGCAAUCGGAAUUCUCGGUGUAGCGGUGAAAUGCGUAGAUAUCGAGAGGAACACCAGAGGUGAAGACGGGUUGCUGGGCCGACACUGACGCUGACAGCGCGAAAGCCAGGGGAGCAAACGGG